rnacentral:rRNA from 1 species
UACAGAGGGUGCGAGCGUUAAUCGGAAUUACUGGGCGUAAAGCGAGCGUAGGCGGCUUUGCAAGUCGAGUGUGAAAUCCCCGGGCUCAACCCGGGAACUGCGUCCGAUACUGGAAGGCUUGAAUCCGGGAGAGGGAUGUGGAAUUCCAGGUGUAGCGGUGAAAUGCGUAGAUAUCUGGAGGAACACCGGUGGCGAAGGCGACAUCCUGGACCGGUAUUGACGCUGAGGCGCGAAAGCGUGGGGAGCAAACAGG